UAGGGAAUCUUCCGCAAUGGACGCAAGUCUGACGGAGCAACGCCGCGUGAGUGAAGAAGGAUUUCGGUUCGUAAAACUCUGUUGUUAGAGAAGAACAGCGCAUAGAGUAACUGUUAUGCGUGUGACGGUAUCUAACCAGAAAGCCACGGCUAACUACGUGCCAGCAGCCGCGGUAAUACGUAGGUGGCAAGCGUUGUCCGGAUUGAUUGGGCGUAAAGCGAGCGCAGGCGGUCAAUUAAGUCUGAUGUGAAAGCCCCCGGCUCAACCGGGGAGGGUCCUUGGAAUCUGGUUGUCUUGAGUGCAGAAGAGGAGAGUGGAAUUCCAUGUGUAGCGGUGAAAUGCGUAGAUAUAUGGAGGAACACCAGUGGCGAAGGCGACUCUCUGGUCUGUAACUGACGCUGGGGUUCGAGAGCGUGGGUAGCAAACAGG
rnacentral:rRNA from 1 species